rnacentral:rRNA from 1 species
GACGAACGCUGGCGGCGUGCUUAACACAUGCAAGUCGAACGGAAAGGCCCUGCUUUUGUUCGUUGCUCGAUUGGCGAACGGGUGAGUAACACGUGAGUAACCUGCCCUUGACUUUGGGAUAACUUCACGAAACUGGGGCUAAUACCGGAUAGGAUCUCCUGCUGCAUGUGGGUGGUUAGAAAGUGUCGGCGGUUGUGGAUGGACUCGCUGCUUAUCAGCUUGUUUGUGGGGUAGUGGCUUACCAAGGCUUUGAAGGGUAGCCGGCCUGGGAGGGUGACCGGCCACAUUGGGACUGAGGUACGGCGCAGACUGCUACGGGAGGCAGAAGGGGGGAAUCUUGCACAAUGGGCGGAAGCCUGAUGCAACAGCGCCGCGUGCGGGAUGCCGGGCUUCGGGUUGUAAACAGCUUUCGAAUGUGACGAAGCGUGAGUGACGGUAAUGGGUAAAGAAGCAACGGCUAACUACGUG